rnacentral:snoRNA from 1 species
UUAAACUUAAAUCCUGCCUGACUGAACUCCUUUCAUCAAAGGGCCCUGAUGUGUAAUGGUUGCAAAAAGCAACCUCUGUGGCAGUAUAUGCCACCUAGUGCUCACACCUGUUUCCCCGCGGAACCUGGAGACAGCC